AACGCGAAGAACCUUACCAGCCCUUGACAUCCCGGUCGCGGGUUCCAGAGAUGGGACCCAUCAGUUCGGCUGGACCGGUGACAGGUGCUGCAUGGCUGUCGUCAGCUCGUGUCGUGAGAUGUUGGGUUAAGUCCCGCAACGAGCGCAACCCUCGCCUCUAGUUGCCAGCAUUGAGUUGGGCACUCUAGAGGGACUGCCGGUGAUAAGCCGCGAGGAAGGUGGGGAUGACGUCAAGUCCUCAUGGCCCUUACGGGCUGGGCUACACACGUGCUACAAUGGCGGUGACAGUGGGACGCGGAGGGGUGACCCCGAGCAAAUCUCAAAAAGCCGUCUCAGUUCAGAUUGCACUCUGCAACUCGAGUGCAUGAAGGUGGAAUCGCUAGUAAUCGUAGAUCAGCAUGCUACGGUGAAUACGUUCCCGGGCCUUGUACACACCGCUCGUC
rnacentral:rRNA from 1 species